rnacentral:lncRNA from 1 species
GGUCAUUGGGGUGUAACGACCAUCACUGGGGUGUAAUGAUCGCAUAGCGACUGCCCUAAGUUCCCAUCCGCAUCCGCAAACUGGCUGGUCCCUGCAGGGCGUCCAGGUACACGAUGUGCCAAACUUGCCCGCAGCAACAAGCCAAGGGAAUCGCGUGGGAAAAUGGAAAACAGGCCUGAACGCCUCCGCGGGAAGUUGAUGAUCAGCAGGAACCGAAUCUCCGAAGUCACCCGCAACCCCGCUCAGACUGGCAGUCUAAAAAAGCUCCCCAGCAAAUGGAAGAAUGGAGUCUAUCACCUCGGAUCACCUUUGAAAAUCAUCCAGGUCAUCUGCCCUCUCAGAACAGACUCCUAUUUGGAGAGAAGGGACCUGGAAGUCCUGAAACAUUGCUGGAAACCAUCAAGCUAAAGUAACUCUCAGCCCAGGAAGGAGGCCACAUCCCUACAACAGGGAAUUAGAGAUGCCUGUGUGGCUGGGUGAGACCUGAAGGGCCCCUCAAGCUGCAGGGACAUAAAGAACCCUAAAAUGCCAAAUCUUAGGUAUGCAUCUCAGGUGUGCUCACAGAACAGGAACCUUGUGAAGGCAAACGCCCAUGGAGAAAAGAAUGAGACACACAGUUUCCCUGGGCCUGUGUCUUCAACCAAAUCAAGACCAGCAUAGAUGCCAUUCCAAAAGUA